ACACGUAGCGGCCAAGAUGGCGCUAGCGGCUGGAGCAGGGGCUCUGCUGUGACCUUUACGGUAGUGAGGUUAGGGACGAUGGGAGAGCAGCUUUGUUCCUGAAGUGCCGUCGAGGAUUAGGAUCGAGUUUCUUCGAUCGUGAGGGCAAUUAUUAGCGGCCUCUAGCCCCCCAGAUGGCAUCUUGAGGAGAGAGAAUCCACGCUACGAGAACUAACAUAGUGGACAUCGCAGUUGUCCGUAGCCGAUUUGCGGGUUACGGAGUUGUUGCAAGUAGAGAAGGGGAAAUCCGAGCGUUCUCGCGUUGGAUUUCCUCCACGUGUUAAAUGCGAAUGGUAGUGAUAUCUCGUGCUAUCUCUGUCAAGGGCAAGAAGGAGAAAGAAUUUAUUUGAGGCCCUACGACGUGGUGCGGUGGCUCACGCCUGUAAUCCCAACACUUUGGGAGGCCGAGGCAGGCGGAUCAUCUGAGAUCGAGAGUUCGAGACCAGCUUGACCAACAUGGAGAAACCCCGUCUCUACUAAAAGUACAAAAUUAGCCAGGCAUGGUGGCACAUGCCCGUAAUCCCAGCUACUCGGGAGGCUGAGGCAGGAGAGUAGCUUGAGCCCAGGAGGCGGAGGUUGUGGUGAGCCGAGAUCGCGCCAUUGCACAGCCUGGGCAACGAGCGAAACUCCAUCUCAAAAAAAUAAAUAAAAAUUUUUUUAAAAAAGAAAUCUG